rnacentral:rRNA from 1 species
UACGUAGGGUGCAAGCGUUAAUCGGAAUUACUGGGCGUAAAGCGUGCGCAGGCGGUUGUGCAAGACAGAUGUGAAAUCCCCGGGCUCAACCUGGGAACUGCAUUUGUGACUGCACGGCUGGAGUGCGGCAGAGGGGGGUGGAAUUCCGCGUGUAGCAGUGAAAUGCGUAGAUAUCAAGAGGAACACCAGUGGCGAAGGCGAGUCCCUGGACGAUACCUGACACUGAGGCACGAAAGCCAAGGGAGCAAACAGG